GGGAAGUGGGAUCCUGUAGGACAAUCAUGGAGGUCCGAUCUGCAUUUGUAGAUUGAAGGGGCCCGAGAAGAGGAAGAUUCACGGAACAACUUGUCUUUUUACCAAAAGCUGCCUGUUACAGAGUUCCCUCAUUUGUAUACUUUGUGGCCUCACCAGCUUGUUUUCUCUUUGCACUCUCCAUUUGCCUCGGACUAACAUCCCCCUUUGCCAGAGUGGAGCUGGAACACCCUUCUUCUCCUGCCUUUGGACAUCAGAACUUCAGAUUCUCUGGCCUUCAGACUUCAAGACUUGCACUAGUGGCCCCCUGGGUUCUCAAGGUUUUGGCCGCCUCGGUUGAGAGUUACACCAUCGGCUUCUUUGGUUCUGAGGCCGUUGGAGUUGGACUGAGCCAUGCUACCAGCUUCCCUGGGUCUCCAGCCUGCAGAUUGCCUACUGUGAGAUUUAGCCUCCAUAAUCACGUGAGCCAAUUCUCUUAACAAAUCACUUCUCAUAUCUUUCUCCUUCUACAUAUCUUAUUGGCUUUGUCUCUGUGGAGAACCCUGAUUAAUACAGCUUCUAAACUGAUAAAUGCUCACUUAUACCCAUUGAGUUGAGAUUGCUUCCUGUCUAGCCUCAAGGCUCUGUCCUCUGAAAGCCACGCUUGGGAUCUUCAGGUAACAGAAUAUUGGCAUGUAGCACUCCUCAAAACAUAGAAAGCAGAAACAAAUCAAUUCUGCCUGGAGGACCUCCCCGAUCUCAACACCCAGUGGUUUUGACAGAAUUGAUAUAGAAAUAGAAGCUUCAAGAUCCCCGGGAACAAAGAGAAGAGGCUUCUGAAAGCUUGCCCAGCAAGAUCAUAGACCCGAGCAUGAAUGGGUUUUAUGUGAUCAUAAUCCCCUCACCUUUCCCCUUGCUCAGGAGAAGAGGAGACAUAACAUCAUAUAACCUAAAGAGUCCAUUUCCACACUUCUGACUCCCUGCAACCCAAAGAGCAUCAGAGCAGCCAAUUAAGAUGUUUUAUUUUAAAAGUUCUCAGUGAAGGAAAGUGCAAAGAAGAGGUCACAGAACUUGGAGUUCAAAAAAAAAAAUAAGAAAAAAAGUCCAC
rnacentral:lncRNA from 1 species